GGGAUCAGUGGCGAACGGGUGAGUAACACGUGAGCAACCUGCCCCUGACUCUGGGAUAAGCGCUGGAAACGGCGUCUAAUACUGGAUAUGUGACGUGACCGCAUGGUCUGCGUCUGGAAAGAAUUUCGGUUGGGGAUGGGCUUCCGCGGCCUAUCAGCUUGUUGGUGAGGUAAUGGCUCACCAAGGCGUCGACGGGUAGCCGGCCUGAGAAGGUGAACGGCCACCACUGGAACUGAGAACACGACCCAGACUCCUACGGGAGGCAGCAGUGGGGAAUAUUGCACAAUGGGCGCAAGCCUGAUGCAGCAACGCCGCGUGAGGGACGACGGCCUUCGGGUUGUAAACCUCUUUUAGCAGGGAAGAAGCGAAAGUGACGGUACCUGCAGAAAAAGCGCCGGCUAACUACGUGCCAGCAGCCGCGGUAAUACGUAGGGCGCAAGCGUUAUCCGGAAUUAUUGGGCGUAAAGAGCUCGUAGGCGGUUUGUCGCGUCUGCUGUGAAAUCCGGAGGCUCAACCUCCGGCCUGCAGUGGGUACGGGCAGACUAGAGUGCGGUAGGGGAGAUUGGAAUUCCUGGUGUAGCGGUGGAAUGCGCAGAUAUCAGGAGGAACACCGAUGGCGAAGGCAGAUCUCUGGGCCGUAACUGACGCUGAGGAGCGAAAGGGUGGGGAGCAAACAGGCUUAGAUACCCUGGUAGUCCACCCCGUAAACGUUGGGAACUAGUUGUGGGGUCCAUUCCACGGAUUCCGUGACGCAGCUAACGCAUUAAGUUCCCCGCCUGGGGAGUACGGCCGCAAGGCUAAAACUCAAAGGAAUUGACGGGGACCCGCACAAGCGGCGGAGCAUGCGGAUUAAUUCGAUGCAACGCGAAGAACCUUACCAAAGGCUUGACAUAUACGAGAACGGGCCAGAAAUGGUCAACUCUUUGGACACUCGUAAACAGGUGGUGCAUGGUUGUCGUCAGCUCGUGUCGUGAGAUGUUGGGGUUAAGUCCCGCAACGAGCGCAACCCUCGUUCUAUGUUGCCAGCACGUAAUGGUGGGAACCUCAUGGGAUACUGCCGGGGUCAACUCGGAGGAAGGUGGGGAUGACGUCAAAUCAUCAUGCCCCUUAUGUUCUUGGACUUCACGCAUGCUACAAUGGCCGGUACAAAGGGCUGCAAUACCGGCGAGGUGGAUGCGAAUCCCAAAAAGCCGGUCCCAGGUUCCGGAUUGAGGUCUGCAACUCGACCUCAUGAAGUCGGAGUCGCUAGUAAUCGCAGAUCAGCAACGCUGCGGUGAAUACGUUCCCGGGUCUUGUACACACCGCCCGUCAAGUCAUGAAAGUCGGUAACACCUGAAGCC
rnacentral:rRNA from 1 species